rnacentral:rRNA from 1 species
UACGUAGGGGGCUAGCGUUGUCCGGAUUUAUUGGGCGUAAAGAGCGUGUAGGCGGCCAGGUAGGUCUGCUGUGAAAACUCGAGGCUCAACCUCGAGACGUCGGCGGAAACCAUCUGGCUAGAGUCCGGAAGAGGAGAGUGGAAUUCCUGGUGUAGCGGUGAAAUGCGCAGAUAUCAGGAAGAACACCCGUGGCGAAGGCGGUUCUCUGGGCCUGUGCUGACGCUGAGGAGCGAAAGCGUGGGGAGCGAACAGG